rnacentral:rRNA from 1 species
GACGUAGGGCGCGAGCGUUGUCCGGAUUUAUUGGGCGUAAAGAGCUCGUAGGCGGCUGUCGCGUCGACUGUGAAAUCCCGUGGCUCAACUGCGGGCUUGCAGCCGAUACGGGCAGGCUAGAGUUCGGUAGGGGAGACUGGAAUUCCUGGAUGUAGCGGUGAAAUGCGCAGAUAUCAGGAGGAACACCAGUGGCGAAGGCGCCCACUCGUGGGCCGUAACUGACGCUGGAGGAGCGAAAGCGUGGGUAGCAAACAGG